rnacentral:misc_RNA from 1 species
UUACGAUGACGGUGUAAUAUUUAUAUUAGGUGCUAGUCACCGAUACAUUGAUUAAUAUAAAUUUUAGGGUGUGAAGGAAUAGAAAGUGACUAAAUUAGAUCUUAAAUUUAAAAAGAAGCCAGUAUUUAGAUUUGAUGAUGAAAAUGAAUUAGGGAUUCCCGUCCGUAAAGAGGCUCAGAGAUCGCGUCGUGAUAUGCGUAGAAACAAGAAAGCGAUUGACGAUGAAAGUUAUACUCAUUAAUUGAGUCGGUAAAUAGGCUUG